rnacentral:rRNA from 1 species
AGAGUGGGUAAGGCUCCCGGUAGAAGACCGGGUUGAUAGGCCGGAGGUGGAAGCGCGGUAACGUGUGGAGCUGACCGGUACUAAUAGGCCGAGGACUUGACCAC